GCACCGGAGUGUGCACCAAGUUCUAAAAUACUAAAAGAUUUGCGUUUAGAGCAACGAAGAAACCUGGGAUAUCGUCGUCUUCUCCGAUUCAUUUUCGGUUCUGCAAUUUACAUACCAACGUACCAUAAUACCGAAAUCAAUUCGAUAACCAUAACCUCUGGCGAUUCGUGAUUUCAUUGUAACUGCAAAUUAAGGACUCAAGCAACUGUAAUGGGUAUAAUCAGGAGGUUCUUCUCUUUUAUAGCAGGGAACGUAGUUGGGAUAUAUGUGGCUCAGAAUUACCAAGUUCCAAACAUCAAGAAUGUAGCUGACACUUUCUUGUUAAAGGCCAAGGAAUUUGAGGACAAAUACCGCAAACCUAACAAGAAAGGUGGUAAUGAUGGUGAUUAGAAAAUUAGAUCUUCUCUGAAACUACAGUGGAAUCAGGUUCUGUUUUGGGGAUUUUUUGGGGGGUGAUUUGCCCUCCAUUAUAUAGAUACUGACACAUAUUAGUUAAGGUCUCUAAAGUAGUGUUCUUUUUCACAUAUAUGAAACAUGUUCAUUAUUCAA